UGAAUAGAGCAAGCAAAGAGAAUGUUCUUUAUGGUGCUUUUAUUUUUUAUGCCAGAAAUUAACCUACCAGAACUGAGUAGCCAGAAACGUUUCCGAAUAAUCAUUAAAACUAAUAAUAAACAAAAACCCUAAAAAUAAUAGUUUACUCUACUAAAUAUAUACAUCGUUCCCUUGGUAAAAAUAUGUACCUAUCAUUGAAUCAUCUAUAAUAUACAGCUCUUUAGAAAUGAAAAUAGAAAUUGCAUUGGAAGAGGCUAUUUCUCAUUAUUCUCAUUUAAUGUUGUGAGUAGAAUUAAAUUUGAUUGAAAAUGCCUCUUGAUUCUCAAAGUAAGCUUUCUAAAGGAAAAAGGAUAAAAAGUUUUGGAAGAGUUUCAAGCACAGCUGACCCAGACUUCCAGUUACCCUACACAAAAAUUGAUGAUGGGGAUGUAGUUUUGCCAAUUGCAUUCAGGUACGUCAUCACAAUUUGUUUCGUCUUCAUCAUCUGUGUUACCCUCAUCCAUAAAUAAACAGUCAUCUUCUGAUCCGUCCAGAUUAUUUGAAAUGCUGCCUUUUUUGAAUGAUUUUCUAACCAUCUCAGGCUUAAUUUCAUCCCAUGCUUUUAAUAUCCAUUCGCACACUGUUUCCAAACUAGCAUGACGCAAAUGUCCUCCUUUCGUAAAGGUUUUCUCGCCCUCCAACAUCCAACUGUUCCACUGUUUUUUUAAAUUUGCUUUAAAUGGUUUGUUUAAGCAGAUGUCUAAUGGCUGAACUAAUGAUGUCAAUCCGCCCGGAAUAACUGCCAUAUCGGUGUUAAAUUUUUUCAACAAUUUUUUUGUAUUAUUUGUGAGGUGGGACCUAAACAUAUCCCACACUAAAAGGCUUUCUUGUUUUUUUAAGCAACCAGGACGAAUUUGCCAGACAUUUUCUACCCACACCAUU